rnacentral:rRNA from 1 species
UAACUGCGGAAGAUCAUUA